GUCCAAGGUGAUCCCCUCUCCAAAGGGCUUUGUGCUCCUAUUAGGAACGUAGCAACGUGAGUGCAAGCCAAGCAUGCCUGUGGUCUCUGAUAAACAAGGAACACUUGUUUGCUUUGCCUUCCUUUGGCUGCCUACAUGC